rnacentral:rRNA from 1 species
GAACAUGGCCACACCUCCUUGCCACAACCUGACUUUGUCAAAUCUCAGAAGCUAUGCAGGGCUGGGCCUGGUUAGUACUUUGAUGGGAGACCACUGGGAAUUCCAGGUGCCAUAGUGG